rnacentral:sRNA from 1 species
UCUGGGUGUGGUGGCUCACACCUGUAAUCCAUGGACUCUGGAGGCUGAGACAGGAGGAUCAUAUAUUCAAAGCCAGCCUCAGCAACUUAGUGAGGCCCUGUCUCAA